UACAGAGGUCCCAAGCGUUGUUCGGAUUCACUGGGCGUAAAGGGUGCGUAGGUGGCUGGGUAAGUCCGAUGUGAAAUCUCCGAGCUCAACUCGGAAACUGCAUCGGAAACUAUCCGGCUAGAGGAAUGGAGGGGAGACUGGAAUACUUGGUGUAGCAGUGAAAUGCGUAGAUAUCAAGUGGAACACCAGUGGCGAAGGCGAGUCUCUGGACAUUUCCUGACGCUGAGGCACGAAAGCUAGGGGAGCAAACAGG
rnacentral:rRNA from 1 species